rnacentral:rRNA from 1 species
AUGAAAAUGUGCAUGCCACUGUUACUACCGGCCUCUGGUGUCAUUCACUUUGUCAUGUCUGAGGGUCAGGCCAUGCAGGCGAGUGGCCUCAUAGCAAGGUGGGAUCUUGUUGGCCCAUCUUCUGGUAGGAGCGCUGAACCAUUUCAUGGCACUUUUCCAAAACUUGAACCUCCAACUGCUAUUUCUGGCAAAGUUCAUCAAAAGUUUGCUGCAAGUGCGAAUUCUGCGCACAUGAUCCUUGCAGGAUAUGAACGUAGUAUCAAUCACGUUCCUGGCUGUGCCUUCUCUUUCAGGUUGUACAAGAUUUGCUAA